rnacentral:tRNA from 1 species
GCCAACGUGGCAGAGCGGUUAUGCAAUUGCCUGCAGAGCAAUCCUAAUCCGGUUCGACUCCGGACGUUGGCU